rnacentral:lncRNA from 1 species
GUAAUUGAAAAAGGUAUAUCAACAUGUGAAUAAAUGCCAUGAUUAUCCAAGUGGGGACACUUGUAUAACCAUUUAGAAAUCAACUUAACAGAAUAUAUAUCUGAGCUAACAUGUUGAUAAUCAAAGCGUACAUAAUCUAUACAGGAAUAGAAUAAUUCUGAAACUCUCUUACUCAUGUCCAUCGCAUAAAGAAAAUGCAAAGGUAGGAUACUUGCCUGAUUUGCUGAUUACAA